rnacentral:rRNA from 1 species
GGGCACGACCGUACAUGGCCGAAUGCACCGUAUCCCGUCCGAUUUGCGAAGUUAAGCGGCCACAGGCCUCGUUAGUACGGCGAUCGAUGAUGGGGCUGGAACCCGGGGUGCCGUACCCU